CUUAUUUCACGUAUAACAUAACAACACAUUAAAAAUGAAAUGAUUCAUCAAUACCCGAAACAAUGUGUUAUUGUGGUUAUACAUUAGCAACGUAUGAGACAACGAUUGGUAUAACCGACUCUAUAUAUAGAUCUCCAAUAUAAGAAAGUGUUAUCAUUGUGCAACGACUACUCUGAACUGCGAUUAAAUAUUCUUGUCAACAAUGGGAUGCACAUGUAAAAGAGUGUUCUUCAUAACCGGACUGAUUCUUAUGGAAUUGAUUGACCUUGGUCUAGACUGGGACUUUUUCGUUGAAGUAAAUAAAACGGACCAAGAAAAAAUACAGAGAAAUGAUGAACUGAAAUAUUUGAUCCUUGCAUUUGCGAUUGUAGGAACUCUUACUUUUAUACUUCAACUUGUAGCUAUAUACUAUGAUUCUAAGAAGAAUUACUCACAUUUAACGUACUCAAUAACGAUGUCAUUUAUAUCAACAUGGCUUGAAGAUAUCCCCCAAAUUAUAUUGGCUAUAUGGGUAGCAAGUAUUUCAUCUGAUCUUAUUUCCUAUGUACAAUAUGCGAAAGCAGCAUAUGCAAUCUUGGAAGCAUUACUUCAUUUUGGAGUUACAAUUUGGCAACUAUGUUGUAAGAGUGAAAAGUUCAAGUACAAAAGAAAUAGUUAUUGUCUCAUGGCAUUACUCUUCCUUGACCUUAUUGGCGGCAUCCUACUUCUCGGAGCGUCUGUAUUCCUUCUAAUAGAACUACGCUUUGACAAUUAUAAUUGAUACCAGUUUGUGUUCAUAUUAAUAGUGCCUUGAAUAGUUAUAUUUUUAAGGUCUUUCCCCUACGUGAGGAAAGACCUUAUUGUUUUUCUAAUGUUUUUUUUUCUUUUUCUUUUUUUUCUUCCAACAUUUGUUUGACAAGGCCUCAUCCCCUUUCUGUUGAAGUUAUCAAGACCAAAUAUGGAUC